rnacentral:SRP_RNA from 1 species
GGCUAUCUCCCGUACGGUGGGGACGUAUGAACCGGGUCAGGCGGGAAACCGAGCAGCCCUAAGUAUUGUUCCUCAGGUGUGCGUGGAGGUAGCCUUU